rnacentral:rRNA from 1 species
GACAGAGGGUGCAAACGUUGUUCGGAAUUACUGGGCGUAAAGCGCGUGUAGGCUGCUCUGCAAGUCGGAUGUGAAAGCCCUGGGCUCAACCUAGGAAGUGCACUCGAAACUGCGGAGCUUGAGUCUCGGAGAGGAUCGCGGAAUUCUCGGUGUAGAGGUGAAAUUCGUAGAUAUCGAGAGGAACACCGGUGGCGAAGGCGGCGACCUGGGCAGAUACUGACGCUGAGGUGCGAAAGCGUGGGGAGCAAACAGG